rnacentral:rRNA from 1 species
GAGAAUCUGCCUUGGGGUCGGGGACAACCACUGGAAACGGUGGCUAAUACCGGAUAAGCCUUUGGGUAAAAGAUUUAUUGCCCCAAGAGGAGCUCGCGUCUGAUUAGCUAGUUGGUGAGGUAAAAGCUCACCAAGGCAGCGAUCAGUAGCUGGUCUGAGAGGACGAUCAGCCACACUGGGACUGAGACACGGCCCAGACUCCUACGGGAGGCAGCAGUGGGGAAUUUUCCGCAAUGGGCGAAAGCCUGACGGAGCAAGACCGCGUGAGGGAGGAAGGCUCUUGGGUUGUAAACCUCUUCUCUCAGGGAAGAAGCUCUGACGGUACCUGAGGAAUCAGCCUCGGCUAACUCCGUGCCAGCAGCCGCGGUAAUACGGAGGAGGCAAGCGUUAUCCGGAAUUAUUGGGCGUAAAGCGUCCGCAGGUGGCGAUUCAAGUCUGCUGUCAAAGCACGGGGCUUAACUCCGUUAAGGCAGUGGAAACUGAAUAGCUAGAGUGCCGUAGGGGUAGAGGGAAUUCCCGGUGUAGCGGUGAAAUGCGUAGAGAUCGGGAAGAACAUCGGUGGCGAAAGCGCUCUACUGGACGGCAACUGACACUCAGGGACGAAAGCUAGGGGAGCGAAUGGGACUAGAUACCCCAGUAGUCCUAGCUGUAAACGAUGGAUACUAGGUGUAGCUUGUAUCGACCCGAGCUGUGCCGAAGCUAACGCGUUAAGUAUCCCGCCUGGGGAGUACGCACGCAAGUGUGAAACUCAAAGGAAUUGACGGGGGCCCGCACAAGCGGUGGAGUAUGUGGUUUAAUUCGAUGCAACGCGAAGAACCUUACCAGGGCUUGACAUGUCCGGAAUCCCGGUGAAAGCUGGGAGUGCCUUCGGGAGCCGGAACACAGGUGGUGCCUGGCUGUCGUCAGCUCGUGUCGUGAGAUGUUGGGUUAAGUCCCGCAACGAGCGCAACCCUGAUGUUUAGUUGCCAGCAUUAAGUUGAACACUCUAGAGAGACCACCGGUGACAAACCGGAGGAAGGUGGG